UUUACAAAUAUAUCUCUCCAUUUAUUAAAAACUUUUACAAUAUCAUACUUCCACCACAUAUAUAUCAAUUGCACAAUGAUUUGGUAUAAUGAGCAUAAAAAGAACAAUAGCUAAUAAUUAGGUCAAACAAUCAAAAUAAAUAAGGCUAUGUCUGGGAAAUGUAGUGAAUAUACUUAAUCAAUAAGGCCAUGUGAAUUGUUCCUCAUUAAGAACUCAUCACAAUGGUAUUGCUAAUAAUUGGGAGACAGAUAUAUAAAAGUUUUUCCAAACUUGUUUCCGAAUCCCGUAUUUGAACUUCACGUAACAUUGUAAUAUCUUAUUCUUUUAAUUGUUCAUUAAAAAAUAUUGUACUGUUUAAACUUACAUUUUAAUUUUUAAUUGAAAAUUUGUAUCUUUAAAAUCAUCCAAAAAUAAACCAUAAAUUAUACAUUUAUUUCAAAUAUUGUUAUAAAAUCAGAUUAAAAUCAAAUUCAUUAAAGAUUAUAUAAUGUAUGGAAUUAUGUAAAACAAAACAAAAAUCUAAAUUUUCCUUUGGGUCUUUUGAGAAAGAAACUUCUGUCCAAUUUUCGUGAAAUUCCAUGAGAAAAAUUUAUAGAUGUCUCAAAGAAAUUAUGUCACAAAUGAAAAUAACUGUUUGGGAUAUUUUCAAGGGAAUGUAGGAUCAUUUUGUUUUUCUACAACAACUUUUGUUACAGACGACACAAAAAUGGAAUGUUUCUAAUAAAGAUGAGCAAAAAUCAAUCGAUUCAAAUAUUGCUUGAUUUUAUUUUAUAUAAAGAUUGGAAAAGAUAUGAACAAGAAUUGAACUUUUCAUUAUUUCAGUUGCACUUUAGACAUAUUUUCAAAUCUUUCGUCAGAAUCAUUAUUAGGUAUUUGAUGCUGAUCUAUCAAUAUAAAAAAAUAUGAAAAAUCGAAAAAUCUUCAAAUAUGUCCAUAAUAACAUUCUUUUAUUUCUAAAGCCAAGAUCAUUUAGAAUGUAAAUUUGACCAAUCAAUAAAUAAUUUUUCAUGUAAAGUUUGAGAUUUUGUGCAAUAUUUUUGAAAAAAAAUAAAAUAAUUUAACUUUGAGCUUUUGACUAUAAUAUUUAAAAAAGACUUCUUAAUAACUUAUAAAAAUAAGAAAUCUACUGUUUUUAAUCAACUGUGUAUCUAUGCUGCAUUAUAAAAUCUAUUGAAGGACUAUGUCCCUAAACUUCCUACAUUCUAAAACAGAUACUGUAAAUCUGAAUGCUACUGCUGUGUUUUUAUAAAUGCAAAUAAUGUGACUGGGUGAUGAGAAUUGCAAUAAUAAGUAAUCACAUUCUCAUAUCUUAUAAAUACAUGUCAGACAUAAAUCUGUUUUCCAAUAAACACAACUAUUUAUCUGCCAUUUUUGUCAAUUCUUAAAAAAAUUGAAAUAAUAAAUGCAUACAAUGAAUUUACAGUACUUCUACCUCAACUAAGAUCACUGUAUUGAUUCAUUUUGAUUUUGCUAUCAAUAUGAUAUUGUGCAUCAUUAAAUUCAUUAAAAUAUUAACAAUUAGCAUUUCACUGAAAUUAUCAACAAAUCAAGCAAAAAAAAUUAUCGAUGUUUUCUAUAUCUUUUCUAAUUUUGUUUAUAAAUUUUAUUAGGUAUAACUGUUUGUUAUAACUUGAGGUGAGUGCGUAAACCUCUAAUAUUAUUUGUGAAGAAUCUUCAUACAAAUAUGUACCAGUAUAUAUUUUUCAUCAAACAUCCCUCUUUCAGGCAAGUGGGGCAUAAAAAGAGAUUAAAUUAAUUGAUUUGUUGAUUUGUUGAAUGUCUAGUGGCUAUUAUUUCAUGCACAUACACAAUUAAAGCUUACAAAGUAAAGAACAAAAUUCAGCACAAAAUAGCACUUCAUUUGUAAAAUAAGAAAGGACAAGGUUCACUAAUGGCACAAAAUGGCCUAAAAUAUCAACUUUAUCAUAAAACACCAAAAAGGUCUCAAUUUGGUUCGUAAAUGGGUUUAUUUCAAAAGUAUAAAUGCUAAAUAUAUCAGUUCUUUUCAUAAGACUACAAGAUAUUCGCCAAAGUAAGCCCAUUUUGGACAUUUUGUCAAAAUAUGAUGAUUUUGUGCAUUUUUCAGACCUAAAAGGUUUUGAAACACAUUGGCUGCCACCUACGAUCCAGAAUGUGUUGUAACCAAAAGAUUCCAAUUUUGAUAUAGAUUUCAUCAAUAUAAACACUUUUUGGAUCGUAGAUGGAGGCCAAGGUUAAUUAUGCCAAAAACAAUUAAAAUUAUGGACAAAAAGUACCAAAAUUGACCUUUUAAUACAAAUUGUACUCAUUGAAGGGGUCAUUGCUACAUAAAUAGUAAAGGAAAGUGCCAGAAAAAAUAUUUUUGUCUUAGUAGUCUUAUCACAAGUAUUUCUAUGUGACAUUUGUAUUUUUUUGCCCCAAUUUAAAAAACAUAAAAAAAUCAGGGCCAAUUUUAACCCUUCGUGAACCUUCUCCUUUAUAAAAAUAUCUUUAUAAUUGUUUUAGUGGAUUUCUUCAGAUCACAAAACCAAAGAUAAUACUACAAUAUAUAUAAUACCAUAAAAUUGCUUCAUUUGGACAGACUUUUUCAAUUGUCCAAAUUACAAUUAUAACAAGAAAUUUUCCAAACAAUUCAUUCAUGCAGCUCACAAAUAAAUUACAUCAAUGAAUAUUUUUUUUUAAUUGCACUAGAUACAAUUAAAAUAUGAAAUUAUGCAAAAAAAUUAUAUUUAAAAAAAAACGAAUUUCAGUUUAGAAUUUAUCUAUGUGACUUGUGAGUCAAAUAUAAUGCAAAUACCUCAACAAAGUCAGAAAAUUGUGAACAAAAUCAUCUUAUGAUGUGCUCUAAAAAGAUCUAAGCAUGAAAAAAAAUACAUGUUCAUGGAAAAAAGAUUGGUUAACAGUACAUACAUUGUAAAGAAUUUUCAGAUCAUGAUAAAAAAAAGUCAAAGAAAAAUCAAAAUGUAGAUAAAAAUGUAUCA
rnacentral:lncRNA from 1 species